AUGGAUAAUACAAUAGCAUGGAAGAAUAAAAAUUAUAGAUACGUUGGAGACGUAUCAGGCGCCGCCAUCGCCAGCAUGCUGGGGUCCGACCGCCUUGUCUACGCCACGCCUAUAGAGAACCUGCGCGCCGCCCAGGCGGCGGCAGACGAGCUGGAUCACAUGGAGGGUGACGAGCGUCGCUGCAUGAUGGAGCGCGUCCAGCAGCUCCUCGAUGUGGCUGUCGUGCAGCAAGAAGCCGGCCACCGUGUGGUAGAACCCGACCUGCACGCCGAGAACCUUCCACCCCCCUCCCCCGUGAACACGGUGCGACCUCCUGGUCCCCGGAAGGCGGCGCCCGCAACUGAAGAGACCAAGAGCCGGCUGCUAGUCGCGGCCGCACACGCAUCACCAUCGACCGUGACCAAGACGGCCGCCCACGAGCAGUGGAACGGCGGAGCGAUCGUCCGCCUCCCCCGCGCAGGGAGAGGCGCGCCUCCCCACCGCCUGUUGAGCAUCUGA
rnacentral:rRNA from 1 species